rnacentral:rRNA from 1 species
AACGAACGCUGGCGGCGGGAUUAACACAUGCAAGUCGAGCGCCCCGCAAGGGGAGCGGCAGACGGGUGAGUAACGCGUGGGAAUCUACCCAUCUCUACGGAAUAACGCAUGGAAACGUGUGCUAAUACCGUAUACGUCCUUCGGGAGAAAGAUUUAUCGGAGAUGGAUGAGCCCGCGUUGGAUUAGCUAGUUGGUGGGGUAAAGGCCUACCAAGGCGACGAGCCAUAGCUGGUCUGAGAGGAUGAUAAGCCACACUGGGACUGAGACACGGCCCAGACUCCUACGGGAGGCAGCAGUGGUGAAUAUUGGACAAUGGGCGCAAGCCUGCUCCAGCCAUGCCGCGUGAGUGAUGAAGGCCCUAGGGUUGUAAAGCUCUUUCACCGGUGAAGAUAAUGACGGUAACCGGAGAAGAAGCCCCGGCUAACUUCGUGCCAGCCGCCGCGGUAAAAC